rnacentral:rRNA from 1 species
CCUACGGGAGGCAGCAGUGAGGAAUAUUGGUCAAUGGGCGGAAGCCUGAACCAGCCAAGCCGCGUGAAGGAAGAAGGCGCCAGGCGUCGUAAACUUCUUUUGUCGGGGAACAAAGUGCGCCACGCGUGGCUUUUUGAGUGUACCCGAAGAAAAAGCAUCGGCUAACUCCGUGCCAGCAGCCGCGGUAAUACGGAGGAUGCGAGCUUUAUCCGGAUUUGUUGGGUUUAAGGGGUGCGUGGGCGGACCUGAAAGUCAGCGGUAAAAGCCCGGGGCUCAACCCCGGCCGGCCGUUGAAACUGUCGGGCUUGAGUCGGCGAGAGGUACGCGGAAUGCGCGGUGUAGCGGUGAAAUGCAUAGAUAUCGCGCAGAACUCCGAUUGCGAAGGCAGCAUACCGGAGCCGGACUGACGCUGAGGCACGAAAGCGUGGGUAUCGAACAGGAUUAGAUACCCCGGUAGUC